rnacentral:misc_RNA from 1 species
AAGACUAUAGACCUGCGGAGUACCUGCGGCGGGAUCAUUACCGAGUGCGGGCCCUCUGGGUCCAACCUCCCACCCGUGUUUAUUGUACCUUGUUGCUUCGGCGGGCCCGCCAUUCUGGCCGCCGGGGGGCUUGCCCCCGGGCCCGCGCCCGCCGAAGACACCCUCGAACUCUGUCUGAAGAUUGUAGUCUGAGUGGAAUUAUAAAUUAUUAAAACUUUCAGCAAUGGAUCUCUAGAUCGG